UACGUAGGUGGCAAGCGUUAUCCGGAAUUAUUGGGCGUAAAGCGCGCGUAGGCGGUUUUUUAAGUCUGAUGUGAAAGCCCACGGCUCAACCGUGGAGGGUCAUUGGAAACUGGAAAACUUGAGUGCAGAAGAGGAAAGUGGAAUUCCAUGUGUAGCGGUGAAAUGCGCAGAGAUAUGGAGGAACACCAGUGGCGAAGGCGACUUUCUNGGUCUGUAACUGACGCUGAUGUGCGAAAGCGUGGGGAUCAAACAGGAUUA
rnacentral:rRNA from 1 species